UAGGACUUUAACAGUUAUGGAUGUGUUUU
rnacentral:piRNA from 1 species